rnacentral:rRNA from 7 species
GGUCCGGCCGGGCCUUUCCCUCUGUGGAACCCCAUGCCCUUCACUGGGUGUGGCGGGGAAACAGGACUUUUACUGUGAAAAAAUUAGAGUGCUCCAGGCAGGCCUAUGCUCGAAUACAUUAGCAUGGAAUAAUAGAAUAGGACGUGUGGUUCUAUUUUGUUGGUUUCUAGGACCGCCGUAAUGAUUAAUAGGGACAGUCGGGGGCAUCAGUAUUCAAUUGUCAGAGGUGAAAUUCUUGGAUUUAUUGAAGACUAACUACUGCGAAAGCAUUUGCCAAGGAUGUUUUCAUUAAUCAGGAACGAAAGUUAGGGGAUCGAAGACGAUCAGAUACCGUCGUAGUCUUAACCAUAAACUAUGCCGACUAGGGAUCGGACGGUGUUAUUUUUUGACCCGUUCGGCACCUUACGAGAAAUCAAAGUGCUUGGGCUCCAGGGGGAGUAUGGUCGCAAGGCUGAAACUUAAAGAAAUUGACGGAAGGGCACCACCAGGGGUGGAGCCUGCGGCUUAAUU